rnacentral:rRNA from 1 species
AUGAGAUCAUUCCCCUUUUACACGCGAGCUUGUCCUCAAGCUUAUAUUUUGGAUGAGGCGCUUGCCAUCCGACGUGCUCUUGAGGUUUGUCGAUCUGAAGGUUGUUCGUCAAUUGUUUUGGCAUCUGAUUGCCUCUUCAUGGUGAACAAAAUCAAGUCUAUGGCUCAAGAUCGAUCAAGAGUGGGCGCUGUUGUCUCGGACAUCAAGUCUCUUGCGUCUGGGUUUACUCAAUGCUCUUUCUUACAUGUCAGGCGUGAUUGUAUCAGGGACGAACUUUGCUGUGAUGUUCAGUAA